rfam:Aedes albopictus isolate Foshan contig135202, whole genome shotgun sequence.
UAGUCUAGUGGUUAAGGCUAUGGAUUGCCAAUCCGGAGACGGCGGGUUCGAUUCCCGU